GGGUCGUGAAAGGGUUUGGUCAAAAGCUAGACUCUUUCGUUGCCCUUACUGUCUGGCGUAACAGUCAGACCUUUUACUGUGAAGAAAUUAGAGUGUUUAAAGCAAGCAUACGCUUGAAUACAUUAGCAUGGAAUAAUGAAAUAGGACGUUUGAUUCUAUUUUGUUGGUUUCUAGGAUCGACGUAAUGAUUAAUAGGGAUAGUUG
rnacentral:rRNA from 1 species